UCGGCUUUAGAUAUAAGGAGACUAUUAAAUUCAGUAAUUCGUCUCUUAUAAAAAAGAACAUUCCUCUGUUAAGCUAGCUUUCUUGAUAGGAAAGAUUACAGAAAUCAAAUGGAAAAAGAAAGAACAAGAAGCAAGCAAUGAAACGUGAUUCAGCGAGUGGCUUAGAAGCAAGACUCGUUAGAGUUGUAACAAUUCAUGGCUGCUUAACAUACCUCCAUAAUUUCCAAUGGAAGAAAGUCUUUGCCAACUAAGAAACAUGGAAACACAAAAUUGUCAACUAAAUGUUGAAGGUUGAACUCAAAUGAAUGGUUCAGAAAAUCCAAUUCAUAAAUACUCACAAUAACCAGAUGUUGAGGAACUGGCCAAAAAAUUAUUCAUUUUAAAGGAUAUUAGAUAACAGAGGAAGAUGGAAAAGAAUUGAAACUCAGGAAUCUGUUUUCCCAACCUGAUAUUCGUUAUUGUGAAUUGGAGUAUCAUUUGCCACAUAGCACCUUAGAGCAUAUCUGCUGGCUUCUCCGACAUUCGGCUGCAAGAUGGCCAGCCUGACCACUGGGUGGCUCAGUAAACAUGACUAGCUGUGUCAUGACUCAUGAGACAAAUAAAUUUUUAGAAUCUUCCAAAAGGAAAGUGAGUUGGAACCCAGAAGUAGAUUUAUAUAGAAUUACCGACUAACCUCUCAAUACUGAGAACAGCAUAAUCGAAUAUACGUUCUGAUUAUCAUAAACCAGAAUUCUAUGUGGGACUCAUCAAUCUAAACAGAGCCAAAAAUACUGGGCAGGAAGAUCAAAGGCCUAAAACCAAUUAUAAAGGGGGGAAAACUCAGACCAUAUAGACAAUGCCGUCUGUUUGGUUACUACACAAGAAAGGAAUUUGUCCACUCUUAGAAGGGAAUGAGCUGUGAUUCAACCUCAUCUGUAUACAAUAUUGAAGUGCAAUUGAGAGCAUACCUAGAGGAAAAAUUGGUGCCAAGAGUGAUGAUGUUAGGCCAUCUCCAACGCUGCGCUAAUUUUCAUUUUGGCGUUGGAAAUGGCCCCCUAACGCUACCCCAAAAUCCAACGGGAUUUUGGCGCUCGCUACAGUGUCACGCCACACUGUACCAGCGCUAUUUUCUUUUUUUUUUUAAUUUAUAAUAUAAUUUAAAUUUUAUAUUUUUUUUAUUUUUUUAAAUUAUAAUAUAAUUUAAAAUUUAUAUAUAUUUUUAAUUAAGUUUAAUUUUUUUAACUUUUAUAAUUUAUUAUAUUUUUAAUUUAUUUUAUAUUUUUAUAAUUAUUAUUUAAUUAAUACAUUUUUAUAAUUAAUAUAUUUUUUUUAUUUAUUUAUAAAAUAAUUAAAUAUUUGAAUAAAAAUAUAAAUAUAUAAAUAUUUAGAGUAAAUAUAUAAAAUUAUAUAAAUUUUUUUACUGAAAUAUAUAAAUAAAAUUAAAGUAAAAUAAAUAAUAUAAUAUUAAAGAGAAAAGAAUAUAAAUAAAAUAUUUUUUUUUGUGUUAAAAUUAUUGUUAAAGGUUGGAGAUAAUAUUACACAAUUUUAGUGCAAAACACUAAAAUAGUAUAAAAAAUGGUGCAUAUGGUUGAAGACAACUUAGAAUCAGAUGUUUCAUGCUGUCCUUUAAGAGAUGAGAGAUUCCCCUUCACCUUAGAUUCUUUUCUCAAUCUUUCUUCCUCGGAUUCCUAGCACAUCAGAAUGAAGGGUCGGAAUGUAACUUCAGUACUUUCAUAAAAGGAGCCACUCAAACUAGCAAACAGAAAUCUUACAGUGUCUCGGCUAGGGCAGAGCAAAUAUCAAAAAACUGAAAAACCAAAAUGUUAAUUAUUAUUAAACUAAACCAAACCGUUUUUAUAGGAUAAAUGAAGCAAAUCAAACCGAAAUAUAUCACUUUGGUUCGGUUAUAAACCGUUGCUUAUGGAAGCCCAAAUUAGCGAAUUCAACAUAAAAAAUUUCACAUAUUACACUCAAAAUCUCAGCAUUCGCAUUUCACAACCACAAUCAAAAUGGCAAUCACAGAUAAACAGUUCCAACAGUUCCAAAAUGGCAAUCACAAUCACCAUCACAGAAAGCAAGGGGAGAAGACCCAUAAAGCUUUAAAGUUUAAAGGGGCAAUAAGGAACCAGGGCAUGCAUGUGCCAUCUUCAUCACAUGCAGAUCCAUAUUCAUAAGACUAUACAAUCGGUGAAGAACCGAGGCCAACUGCCAAGGCAAUGAAGGCCAAACUGUUGGUUGAAGUGAAGGCAUGAGGGUGAGGGCUGAGGGUCAAGGCCCCGCUCAACUGAGGGGAAAGGGAAGACGGUCAUGUACUGCACUCACAUUUAGAGGAAGAGAAACGGGAUUGGGAGCUGAAAGCAUGUGUCCGUAUUCUAUCUAGCUGCUGGAGGCGAGAAAAGUAAAGGAAAAUUAGGGUUAAAAGGUUUAGGUGUUAUAUAGUCAGCCAAAACCCCCAAAAUGACACUAUGCUUUUGGUUCGGUUGAGUUCAUCAUUUUGGUUUUUCAACUGAAUUAACGAAACCGAAAAAACCAAAUUGAUUUGUGUGGGUUGUCAGUUAUAACCAAAAACUGUCGCCCUAGCUUCAGCAGCAUCUUUUGCAGCUCUAAAGCGCCGAGACCAUUGUUGAUUUAUUUUAGCUUUAGGUGGAACCCCAUCUAUAAAAUUCAAAGGUGACAUUCCUGCCAGUGCAUUAGACUAUGAUGCCAUCUUAAUGCCAAUCCUAUGUUGAUUUAAGACCAUAUCUACAACAAAAGUACACAUUUCUCCACAAUGAAAUCAUAAAUUACACUUAAAAAAAUCAGCUUCUUUACCUGUAGUUUGACAUAUUGACAACCACAGGAGAAGACACUUUACUAAAGGUACAUCAAUGGCAAGUAACCUCGAGGGCGUAAGUGACAUCUCCAUAGCUAGGCAUAGAAGAGGUGGCAAUUAUGCCAUUUUAUCCCAUAAUUAAAUAUUUGCAUACAUGGGCUAUAAGCUUUGCAGCUUUACUGCAUAUCUAUAAAUAGUUUCUUCUUCCCACACAUCUCUUACUCUUCCCUGUCUAUUGACUCUUUCCAUCCAACUAAUUUCUCCAACUUCAAACUACUUUUGUGAGUAAAAAGCCUUUAUUAUUUCUCUUCUAUGUUGCCAUAUCAUCACAAAGAUAUUAACUUCUAAAUUCUGAAAUCUGUUUAUCUAUACUUUGCAGGAAAUGAUUUCCUUGGAAUUUAUCUGAUAACCCUUCUAGCCACACCAAAAGAGUUCAUGGAUAUGCAGGUGGAUAGUCGGAUGCACAUGCUACUUUCUAUGGAGGUGAUGAUGCUUCUGGUACAGUGGUAAGAACUAAAAAGCAAACACAAUCAAAACCUGUGAACAAGCAUUCCUUACUGUAUAGUUUUUGGCUCAAGCAAUUUUUGGGUAACAUAGAAGAGAAAUAAUGAAGGAUUUAUGUUUACACAAGUAGUUUGGAUAUAAGAGAAAUCAGGAAAAGGAAGGAGUCAAAGACAGGGAAGGGUAAGGCACAUAUGGGAGGAGGAAGCUGUAUUUAUAAAUGUGCAAAAAGGAAAUUAAGCAGUAUGCUGCAAAAAUUAUUCCCACGUGUGCAAGAUUAAAUUACGGGAAAAAAAGCCUAAUUGACACCUCUCUGAUGCCUUGAAUUUUAUGGAGUUGUCACUUUGCCGCCUGAUUAAAAAGGAAAACUUGAAAAGGGUAUCUUGAUUUUAAGAAAAGAAGGACAUGCAUGCUUCAAAAAGUAUUAGAUAAGCAAAAGGAGCUGUUCUCCAACCAAUAUAGAGCCUUAACUCUAUUGCUUGACAUUAUAGUUUAAAACAAGCACUCGUAACUGAAAUCAAAAUACUAUCAACAAGAACUCCAAUAAGAAAUGAAUCAUCUGAGACAAACCAGAGCUGCAGAACUAGGUGAUCUUUCUGCAAAUUCUCAAGUUCCUUCAAACUACACUUGGAAGAGAAAUGAAUCAUCUGAGAAAAAUAUGCAAUGUAAGAAGUAGGUGGAUCUUUCUGCAAAUACUUAAGUUCCUUCAAAAUACGCUUGGAAGCCAUGAUGUUUCAAUCAGGGAGCUGAAAAUACUGCAGAUAAAUUGUAGAAGCUGAGAAAGAGCAAUUAAAAUCCUACAAAAAUUAAAAGAGAUCUACAACUAAAUAAGACCAAGCAGUCAGAACCCAAAAAAAGAAAAAAAAACACAGAAACAGAGAUAAAGAGAGCAAAUAAAAAGAUAUUAGAGAAAAGUGAGCAC
rnacentral:lncRNA from 1 species